CCACACUCACGCUCAAAAAUUUUCAUCAAAGGCCCACCAGUCUCUAACCCAAACUUCUCUCUGUUUUUAUUCGCCAUGGCCGCCGCCACCCCGAGCGCCGUUUUCUCUGCCAAAUCUUCUGCGGCCGCGCGCCUUCCUUUGCUCCCAAUUUCCUCCGCGCGCCCUCCUCUCCAAAUCGCCUCCGCGCAGCAGCCCCUCCCAUCUCGCAGCCCCCAAAUCUCACAGUCCAAUCCUCUUGCCUCUCCUCUGCAGAUCUUGAGCAGCCUCCACCAGCUCACCAUGGAUCCCUCCUCUCCUAAAUGCAUUCCUCCACUUACCCGAGCACCCCCUACUCCGGCGGCAUCCACGGCCAGGAAGCCGCCCCAACUAAGCCGCCGGCCCCUGCAGGAACCCUGAAGAGGAGGCUGCCGCCCCCAACCUGCAAGAAGGUGCCGCCGCCCCCAACCUGCAAGAACCAGCAAGAGGAGGACCCCCCUGCAGGAAGGUGCCGCCGCCCCCAACCUGCAGGAAGAAGCUGCCGCCCCUCCUCCGGCGGCAUCCAAGGGCGACGCCCCCUCCGACCAGCAGCACACCGCCGACUGACACCGCCACCGCUGUUCCACCGGCAGCCACGUCCCGAGGAGGCUACCGCCCCAACCUGCAAGAAGCUGUCACCCCUGCUCCAACCAGCAGCACGCCGCCAAGAAAUCUAUUGUAGUAUUUCUAUUUCAACUCUGCAAUUUUCAGUCUCACAUGGAUGAACUGAAGAGUGGAGGGCGCUUAGCUAUUUUGUUGAUUUUACUUGCUGCAUAUUGGUUGAAUUGAAAAGGGGAGGACACUUAACUAUUUUGUUAAUUUUAGUUGCUGCAUAUUGUCGACAAUUAGUAUCAUAACUGGGUAUUUUCUGGUUAAAUUUAAUAGCAUGUGCUCUAGUCUUGCAUUUUCUCUGUCGAUUAGCUCAUUUAAUCUACAUCUUGCUAAAUGAAUCAGAGAUGAUUAACUAACUUUUUUCUUUGCACAGCUACCUCCUUGCUGCUUUACUGGCUCACUGAAGGUGAAGGGUAAAGGACAUGGUGACCUGUGACCAUAUCAUAAGAAGCAUAAUUCCUUGUUGAAAUGUUGCAAAUUUCCUAGUUUGGGAUGACACUAAUCUAAGGACAGCUUCAAGGGGAAAAUCCUUAGGAUAAACUGAACAAAGAAAUGAUACCAGAAUGACAUAACAGUUGAAGGUUAGCAAGGUAUCAAAAUCCUCCUUCGGUACUGCAGGCAGUUCUGGAAAAAUUGCUAGGAAGAAGGAUGCUUGAAGCUAUUUGCAAGCUGGAAGCGAAGUGUUCAUGCAAGAUUUUGCAUUUUGUUUAGGAGUUCCUGGAGAUCAAUAUUUUGCCCAAGCUCUUAAUGGUGUUGUAGUGUAGUAUGAUAGUUUGACUUGUAAUGAUAGAUGUGGAAAUGCUAAUAACUUACUCCUGCAAACUUGAUGGCUUUUGGUCGGAUGUUCAAAUGGUGAUUGUCUGCUCAUAUAUGCAGACUUGAUGGCUGUGAGCCAACUUAAUUAGUUUAUAUUGUAGUGUGCAAUUGGAAUAGCUUUGCUAGCUAGCUAACUCAUGUAUGGAACUAUGGAUGACAUAGUAUUAAUGUUAUAUGCUCAUUUCCAAUGAAUUAUUAUGGAUGUUCUAA